rnacentral:rRNA from 1 species
GACGGACCGUCCGAACGUUACUCGGAAUUACUGGGCUUAAAGGGUGCGUAGGCGGCCUUGCAAGUCGGGUGUGAAAGCCCUCGGCUUAACCGAGGAAUUGCGCUCGAAACUGUGAGGCUCGAGGAAGAUAGAGGUGAGCGGAACUUGCGGUGGAGCGGUGAAAUGCGUUGAUAUCGCAAGGAACACCGGAGGCGAAAGCGGCUCACUGGGUCUUUCCUGACGCUGAGGCACGAAAGCUAGGGGAGCGAACGGG